AAUUCACCAUGGAGAGGUUCUGCAGGAAAGCUGUGUUUUGUUGUAAGGGACAUUAGCUCUUACAAAAACUUUGUCUUGAUUUUUUUUUUUUUUUUUGCUGUGUCUUGUUUUGUCUUGCUCUCCAAGCAUUUGAGCUGAAACAAAUAAGUAAAACGUCGAUUUAAUGAGGAUUCAAGCUAUGUAGCCCCAGAGGAAGGAAGUGGGACUUUUAAAAUAAAGAACGUCAUCUAUCCUCUGCCACAGACCGGAAUGCCGUGGUGUCUCAGCACCAGCCCAAGCACUUUGGAGAGCUUGUUGAAUCCGAUCCUGAACAGUAGGAGAGACAAGGUCUCACUUUGACACCCAAGCUGGAGUUCAGUGGCGCGAUCAGAGCUCAUUACAGCCUCCAACUCCUGGGCUCAAGCAAUCCUCCUGCCUCAUCCUCCCAAGCAACUGGAGCUAAAAGUGUGCACCAUCAUACCUGGUGCCUUUAUUCCUAAAUGUUUCUUCAUGAAGGAAGAUACAAAUUUACAUGAGCCUAUGCUGUUCACAUGAGUAACGGGAAAACAGAGAGAACUCAGGGGCACCCACAUAUUAUGCUUUAUAAUUUGACCUAGGAAUAGUCUUGAAUAAGCAACUUGGGUUUCCCCUCCCAGAAAAUACUUUGACAUACAUUAAUUUAUUCAUUUAAAACUCAUUAUUUACUGGGUUUCCAUGAGGUGUCUCUGAGACUCACUCUUCCCCCUUUGUUCUCACAGUAUUUUAAAUAUCCUUAAUAUAAUCUAUCCUGCAAUUUCUUAUUGUUGCAUGCCCUCCUUUCUUUUUGGAGUGUGAGCUCUUUGGUGACAGGGACUUCAUAUGUUUUCUCAUCCUUCCAGCACCUAAAACUGUUUCUGGCAUAUGCAGAGUAAUCUAUAAAAAACUUUAAGAUCUGUUAAUGAAUCAAGUUAUUUGUGAUUGUGCCUGGUAUUCUUUCAUUUAUUUAUACAUUUAUCUGUGUGUCUAUUUGUACACCCCCCCCAUCAAUUUAUCAAAGCAUCCAUCCAUUCAUUCAUCCACCCACCCAUUUUUCUCCCUGAUCUCACCCCAUUAACAAUUUGUAGAAAACAAUCUGACAAAUUCACCGAAAAAGGCAAUAAAGGAAAAGGAUUUUCCAUCCAUUAUCCAUUCUUUUUUUCUGCCUUCAUUUUCACUUCUACCAUCUCUCCUGCAUAUCUCUUCCUCUUUCUGUGGAGAGUUACAGGAAUGAAAACGAGAUGGGUCCUGAAGAGUUGGUAAGGGGAGUAAAUUGCUUGGUGACAGCUUGGUUCCAGAGACGGAUGAAAACCUUAGCCUUAAGCAAAGUUCAGGGAAGCCCAAGGAGAGAGCUGAUGGACAGUCUGACUUGUUGAGGGUGAAAUCAAUUAAAGUACAUCAAAUCCAGAAUUCAUGCUUUCUCAGAGUGACAAAUCUAUGCUGGAAACUGAGAAAGACGAAAGGAGAAAAUUGCCUUUGACCUUUUGAAGACCGGCUGUUCCUUCUGUCAGGGGAGCCAGGCCUGGAGUGAGAUGCGUUCAUGAUGAAUUAUAACAGCCAGCUACCUUAAAAAAGAACGGGGUGAAAAGGUUACCAAAGAGAACCAAAAUGUGAGGAAUUCAACCAAACAUCAAGAUAAAUCAACUUGGCCAGGAGUAUUUGUGCCAUGCCUGCUCAGAGCUGCUAUGGACAAGCUCAGUUUGUUAGUUCAGCUCUUUGAAGCAUGAUAUGCAGACACACUUGCAUGUUCACACACUUUGUUUGCCAAAAUGUGGGAAGGUAAUCAGAAGAGAAGAGCCACAAGAUUGUCAGUCUAGCAUCAGAAAUUUGGUGGCAUAGCGUUUCUGUACAACGCUGUCCACUAAAACUUUUUGUCAUGAUGAAGAUGUCCUAUAGCUAAGCUGACCAAUACGAUAGACAUUAGUCAUAUUUGACGUUGAGCACUUGGAAUAUGGGUAGUGAAAUUGAGGAACUGAAUUUUUAUUUUUUGAUUUUAAUUAUUUUAAAUGUAAGUAGCCACAGAUGGCUAAAAGCUACUGUAUUGAAUGGUGAAGCUCCAGGACAAAGGAUGUUUUUGCCUUCAACAAUAUCAGAAAAGCAGGGGUGAGUGGAUUGUCAGAUUGCAGUACAAUUACUUGCAUUUUUGCAGAGUUCGUGGGAGAAACUCAUUAUAUUCAUUUGUAAUGCUUGUUGGUAAAUUUGAUUUUCUCUUUAGAAUGUAGAGAUUAAAUCUUGGUUUAAAACUGCCUCUCUGAGAGCAGUUUCUCCAUCAGUGAAACGGGCAUAAUUUCAACUCUUUGAGAGUGCUCCGUUAUGCAAUAUAUGCAAUGUUUCUUAUCUCAGUGUCUGAAAACAGUUCAUACAAGUUUGCUGUGCUUGAUGCUAUUACUAUUACUAGUAUUGUGAUUUAAAAGCAAAGGAGAUUGUUGGUGAGAAAACAAGUUGUUCCACCUGGAGAUUUAUGCUGAAAUAACCACUUUACAUCACAACCCAUGGAGUCCUUGACCUUAGCUUAGUUUGUCUAUCCCACCACCAGAUGCCAUUUAGAAAAUUAUCAGCUGUUUCUGGAUAAAUGGGUAUUUUGGUUUCCUAGAGAUCAAACUGAAGAUUGAAAAACAGAAAUAAUUUGUUGACAAUUGUCCUAGUUUCUUACUGGUUCCGCACUGAGGGGAACUUUCCAAAUAACUACUAUUUGCAUUCUUUGGCAUCCAAAUUAAUAUUAUCAUUUCCAAAUUUGAGCCAUUUUGCCUGGAAAACAUUCUUACCAAGUUUAACAAGUUUUAAUAUUUCCUGUCUUUAGAAAAAUAAAAUGUGCAACAAGACUUAACCUUUUAAAACUUUUUUCUGAAACACACAUGCACAUCCAUAUGCAUACAUGCACACACACACACUUACCCAGAGGCAUAAAAUUUACGUAACAUAAAAUUAGCUUUUGCUUGCUUCCACCUUUUGGCUAAUGUGGAUAGUGCUGUUAUGAUACGAUAAUCUGUGCAAUAAUUCGUUUCAGUACCUGUUUUCAUUUCUUCUCGGAAUAUACCUAUGAGUAGAAUUGCUGGACUGUGUGUUAAUUCUAUGUUUAACAUUUUGAGGAAUUGCAAAACUGUUUUCCAUAAUGACUGCAUCAUUGUACACUCCUAUCAACAAUGUAAUGCUCAUCAACACUUGUUAUUCUCCUUUUAAAAAAAUUGUAUCUAUCCUAGUGGGGGUGAAGUGGUAUCUCAUUGUGUUUUUUUAUUUGCAUUUCCCUAACGAGUAAUGAUACUGAGCAUCUUUUCAUGUGUUUAUUGGCCAUUUGUAUAUCUUACUCAGAGAAAUGUCUAUUCAAAUUAUUUACUUAUUUUAUUGCUUAAUUGCUCUGGCUAGAAUUUCUCAUGCAACAUUAAAUGGCAGUGAUGAAAGUGG
rnacentral:lncRNA from 1 species